ACAAGCACUGUUUUGAUAUGGUUGUUGGGCUUUUUAAUUAGGUGCACCCUUCCACACUUACACACGGUUUACCUUCAUCAUGCAUCUCCAUUACAUGCCUACUGUCACACUUCACAGCUCUGCCAACCAGGCUCGGUGGGUGACAGGUAAGUGUUUCCACCAAGCUGUUCAAUGCCUGGAGUGGCACGCUGGAACUUCCAGAGGCUUGUAGACCUGAAGCAGUGUGAUGUGAUACAGCUCAACCACAGUCUUCACAGCUGGAGUCGUGUGCCCUGCAACUGCUAAACUGGCCAUGAAAGGUGAUACAGAUCUGCCACCAGGUUUUCAGCUGCAGUCACUAGUCCUCUGCUGUGGUAUUUAAUUUACCGGCUGCACCAGUUCUUACUACACUGGCCACGGUGAGGAAUACCCAGAUGGAUACAGAUCUGCCAUGCACUCCACCACUGCCCGACAGCCUCACCCAGAAGGGAAAUACACUGGGCCUAUCGAGACUGACAAAGCAGAGAUGGGUGGCUAACUAGAGAAAAUAAAACCUCCAAACAGCGUGGUGGCGAGUCAAUCUGCAAACCUAAUCUAGGCAAGCAGUGAGGAGCGCACAAAACAAUACAGGCUACAGACAUCACAAGCAGUG
ensembl:lncRNA